rnacentral:rRNA from 1 species
AAUAAACGCUGGCGGCGUGCCUAACACAUGCAAGUCGAACGAGAAAGCCCAGGCUUCGGCUGGCAAGUAAGUGGCGCACGGGUGAGUAACGCGUAGGCAACCUGCCCCUGUGUUCGGGAUAACAGUGCGAAAGCGCUGCUAAUACCGGAUGCGGCCAUUUGGCGGUGGCUAAAUGGUCAAAGUCGGCCUCUCGAAGAAGCCGGCGCACGGGGAUGGGCCUGCGUCCUAUCAGCUAGUUGGUAGGGUAACGGCCUACCAAGGCUACGACGGGUAGCUGGUCUGAGAGGAUGAUCAGCCACACUGGCACUGAAACACGGGCCAGACUCCUACGGGAGGCAGCAGUGAGGAAUUUUGCGCAAUGGCCGCAAGGCUGACGCAGCAACGCCGCGUGGGUGAAGAAGGCCUUCGGGUCGUAAAGCCCUGUCAGGUGGGAAGAAUGUCCGGGGUGUGAAUGACAUCCUGGAGUGACGGUACCACCAGAGGAAGCACCGGCUAACUCCGUGCCAGCAGCCGCGGUAA